GACGAACGCUGGCGGCGUGCCUAACACAUGCAAGUCGAGCGGUUCUUACGGGAGACAGUUUACUGUUUUCUGUAAGGAUAGCGGCGAACGGGUGAGUAACACGUGGGCAACCUGUCUGGGAGACCGGGAUAACAGUUCGAAAGGGCUGCUAAUACCGGAUACCUUUACGUUGCCGCAUGGCGAUGUAAAGAAAGGGAGUUUACUUCUGCUUUCAGGUGGGCCCGCGUCCCAUUAGCUAGUUGGUAGGGUAACGGCCUACCAAGGCGACGAUGGGUAGCUGGUCUGAGAGGAUGUACAGCCACACUGGGACUGAGACACGGCCCAGACUCCUACGGGAGGCAGCAGUGGGGAAUAUUGCGCAAUGGGCGGAAGCCUGACGCAGCGACGCCGCGUGAGCGAAGAAGGCCUUCGGGUUGUAAGACUCUGUCAGAGGGAAGAAAACGGACGGUACCUCAGAGGAAGCCCGGCUAACUACGUGCCAGCAGCCGCGGUAAUAGUACUACUAU
rnacentral:rRNA from 1 species